ensembl:lncRNA
CUUUUUCUUUAAUUUCACCUUCAUCUCUUCGUCUGUCCUUUUCUGCUCGGUCUCCCAGUCUGGCUUUUUCUCAGCCUCGGGUUCAGAGAGGGCAGAUAGGUCCGUUGCAGCCACAUUCGCCACAGAGUCUGCAAACAGCCUCUGCCAUUCUGUCAAUGAUUUGUCCUUCGCUUCUGGCGCCGUCUUGGGCUCUGGUUCAGAGGGGACCUCAAGGCCUUUUGCAACCGCUUCCGCCAAACGCAGUUUCCACCUUGUCAUAUAGGCUCUGUUUCUCAUGGAUAAACCUUGGUUGAAUAAACCUCCUUUUUCUUCCAGUGUUUUCCCCUUUCUCCCUUUUCUAUUUGGGAAUCCUGUUCUACAGGGUGCCCCAGAAUACGUUGUAGCCACCGGAGGGACCACAAAAUGCAGUUUCUCCCCUUCUAUGACUGCAUCUCCUUCUGGCACUUUCUUUAUACCGGGCUCCUUGGCAGCCACCAGACGAGUUUCUUUAAGCUGCCUCAAUUCUUGUAUAUUUUUGCGAUUAAUCAAGUUAAUCCGAUAGCGUUCCCUCUUCAGUUGCACUUUUAUACUCAAACGGUUUAGUCUGGCCGGCUUUGAGUCUUGGUUUAUGCUGGGAUGGACAAGUCUGGGCCACACAGUCUCUAUUUCCUGUUCAGGGAUGCUCAGGGAUGCGUCUGGGUCCUGCACUUGUACAUCCAUGUUUGUGAACGGAGGGUUUCCAGUGGCCUGUGUGUAUGGCUGGAAAAAUCUUUCUGAAGGGUCACUAUAGUAAGAAGGUGGGCAGUUGGGGUACAGUGGAUACCCAAGGGGGUUAGGGAGGGGCACUGUACCAGGGAGCACGGUACUCGGGGGCAUGGUACUAGGGAACACGAUACCAGGGGGAAAGCUACACCCUGGAGGGAAGGCGCCGGCGUAGGGGCUGCCGUGGUAUGCCAUGUACUGAGAGUACUGCACUGGGUCGGUUGCCAUCAAAGAUGCACGAGGGUGUGUAGGAUCGUUGGAGUAUGGGUAAAGCCCCCGGAAGCUUUCCUUGUCCCCAUCCCACUCUUUGUCUCGCUCCCACCAUCUCUCUCUGUCCUUGUCUCUCUCAGAUCUGUCUCCAUCACCAUCUUUCUCUGAUCUGUCUCUGGUACUAGAUAGUCUGUCUCUCUCAGAUCUGCUCCUGUCCCACUCUCUGUCCCCGUCUCUAGUACUAGAGCGUAUUUUCCUUUCUGUCUCCCACCAUCUAUAUCUAUCCAGCUCUCUGGUACUAGAGUGUCUGUCUCUCUCAGAUCUGCCCCAGUCUCUCUCUCUGUCCUGGUCUCUGGUGCUUGAGCAUCUGCCCCUGUCUCUGUCUCUGUCCUGGUCUCUGGUGCUUGAGCGUCUGUCUCUGUCUCUCUCAGAUCUGCCCCUGUCUCUGUCUCUCUCUCUGUCCUGGUCUGUGGUGCUUGAGCGUCUGUCUCUGUUUCUCUCAGAUCUGCCCCUGUCUCUGUCUCGGUCCUGGUCUCUGGUGCUAGAGCGUUUGUAUUUUGCGGUCCACCGAUGGCAAGGAGGGCUGGAGUUGGAGCUAUCUGAUAACAAGGUAAUACUGUGACAUUUACUUGAGCAUGCGCUCUCCUCUUUAUCUUUCCCGCUCUCCUCUUUCUCCUCCUGUUUAUCUUCCUCGCUCUCCUCUUUCUCCUCCUGUUUAUCUUCCUCGCUCUCCUCUUUCUCCUCCUGUUUAUCUUCCUCGCUCUCCUCUUUCUCCUCCUGUUUAUCUUCCUCGCUCUCC